rnacentral:misc_RNA from 1 species
UGGCUCUCGCAUCGAUGAAGAACGCAGCGAAAUGCGAUAAGUAAUGUGAAUUGCAGAAUUCAGUGAAUCAUCGAAUCUUUGAACGCACCUUGCGCCCUCUGGUAUUCCGGAGGGCAUGCCUGUUUGAGUGUCAUGUAGACUCAAUCCCCCGGGUUUUCCGGGAAGAUUGGAAUUGGACGUCUGCCGCCUGCCCGGCUCGUCUCAAAUGUGUCUGUGGGUGUCUCUGUACCCGUCGGGAGUGAUACGUUUCUCUCGGUCACGGCGUCCUUGGCCCUGCUGUCCAACCACCAUAUCAUGACUCUGACCUCAAAUCAGGUAGGGCUACCCGCUGA